GGGGAUGACGGGUUUUGACAGAGCCCUGAAGCCCGGCGUUGCAGGUCGAGCCUGCUGGGGAGCUCGUAAAUCCCCCUGGCAAAAAUUUAACUGGCGAAGAGCAACAGCUCCCGCUCGCGGCCUAGGCGCCGUGACGUUCCUCGGUCCCGUCCCUAGCGGGUUCGAUCGAGCGCUAACUCUCUAGGGUGCGUCGGCUGAGGUGCCCGAGUAAGCCGAUCAAGACACGCGGGCUGGCUGUGAGUCGUCGCUGCCGGCAGCGACGCUGCAGCAAGAUACUAAGGCCCGGAUAAGCCUGUAGAUGCGUCGGGGAGACAGGUUCUGGACGGGGCGUUCGAUUCGCCCCCAUCUCCACCA
rnacentral:tmRNA from 1 species